CAAUAAACUAUUAUUUUCAUGUAUAUAGUUCUAAAAAGGUAUCAUUCGAUAUAUACUGAAACAAAAGUUAAAAUUCGAAUUCGUGUAUUACUACAGCACGGGAUCUUUCUGAAUAUUUUCAGUUUCUUUAAAAUCUUUGUUAUCAACAAAUAGUUAUAUUAAGAUAAAAUGGUUUAGGUUAGUUUCCUAAAAAUCCUUUAAAAAUAUUGGCAAAUCUCUUUGUUGAAUAUGUUACGAUUCUAUAUUCUACUAAUCUAGAAUAUAUCUAGGAUAUUCCUUUUACAAAUUAACUAAUAUAUUUUCAAAUUUAUUUUAUCCUAAUCGACUACCUAGAACUAUAAGUAAGCC
rnacentral:lncRNA from 1 species